UACGUAGGGGGCAAGCGUUGUCCGGAUUUAUUGGGCGUAAAGAGCGUGUAGGCGGCUAGGUAGGUCCGUUGUGAAAACUCGAGGCUCAACCUCGAGACGCCGAUGGAAACCAUCUAGCUAGAGUCCGGAAGAGGAGAGUGGAAUUCCUGGUGUAGCGGUGGAAUGCGCAGAUAUCAGGAGGAACAUCCGUGGCGAAGGCGGCUCUCUGGGACGGUACUGACGCUGAGACGCGAAAGCGUGGGGAGCGAACAGG
rnacentral:rRNA from 1 species